GAUAUGAGUAGAGCGGCGGACGGGUGAGUAACGCGUAGGAAUCUACCUAGUAGAAGGGGACAGCCCGGGGAAAACCCGGAUUAAUACCGUAUACCUCCUUCGGGAGAAAGAAGGCCUCUCUUUGAAGCUUUCGCUACUAGAUGAGCCUGCGUAAGAUUAGCUUGUUGGUGAGGUAAAGGCUCACCAAGGCAACGAUCUUUAGCUGGUCUGAGAGGACGAUCAGCCACAUUGGGACUGAGACACGGCCCAGACUCCUACGGGAGGCAGCAGUGGGGAAUAUUGGACAAUGGGCGCAAGCCUGAUCCAGCCAUACCGCGUGUGUGAAGAAGGCCUUCGGGUUGUAAAGCACUUUAAGCAGGGAGAAAAAGUUAUAAGCUAAUACCUUAUAACCUUGAUGUUACCUGCAGAAUAAGCACCGGCUAAUUCCGUGCCAGCAGCCGCGGUAAUACGGAAGGUGCAAGCGUUAAUCGGAAUUACUGGGCGUAAAGCGCGCGUAGGUGGUUUGUUAAGUUGGAUGUGAAAGCCCUGGGCUCAACCUAGGAACUGCAUCCAAAACUAACUCACUAGAGUACGAUAGAGGGAGGUAGAAUUCAUAGUGUAGCGGUGGAAUGCGUAGAUAUUAUGAAGAAUACCAGUGGCGAAGGCGGCCUCCUGGAUCUGUACUGACACUGAGGUGCGAAAGCGUGGGUAGCGAACAGGAUUAGAUACCCUGGUAGUCCACGCCGUAAACGAUGACAACUAGCUGUUAGGAGACUAUGUCUUUUAGUGGCGCAGCUAA
rnacentral:rRNA from 1 species